UUACUCUGGUUUCUCUUCAAACCACGAAUAUAUCUUUCGCCUUUUACUAAAGAUAUCCGUGGAGAGGAACAAUUAAUGAGUCUAUAGACAAUUUCUCUACACCCCACUUUACGUGGGUA
rnacentral:snRNA from 1 species